UACGGAAGGCAGCAGUGGGGAAUAUUGCACAAUGGGCGAAAGCCUGAUGCAGCUAUGCCGCGUGUAUGAAGAAGGCCUUAGGGUUGUAAAGUACUUUCAUCGGGGAGGAAAAACAAAACUAAUAAUUUUAUUUCUUGACGUUACCUGAAAAAGAAGCACCGGCUAACUCCGUGCCAGCAGCCGCGGUAAUACGGAGGGUGCUAGCGUUAAUCAGAAUUACUGGGCGUAAAGAGCACGUAGGUGGUUUUUUAAGUCAGAUGUGAAAUCCCUGGGCUUAACCUAGGAACUGCAUUUUGAAACUGAAAUACUAGAGUAUCGUAGAGGGAGGUAGAAUUCUAGGUGUAGCGGUGAAAUGCGUAGAUAUCUGGAGGAAUACCUGUGGCGAAAGCGGCCUCCUAAACGAAUACUGACACUGAGGUGCGAAAGCGUGGGGAGCAAAC
rnacentral:rRNA from 1 species